rnacentral:rRNA from 1 species
CUAUGAUUACAGCUCUCAAGCAAACAUAUAUUUACAAGACUGUGAUGUAAUGACAUUUCUGAGCAUUGAGCGGAUCAAAUCAGACCGUAAG